rnacentral:ncRNA from 1 species
UUACAGACUAGGAAUGAGAUUAGUAGGUCUAAAGCGAAGCUCAGAGAGCCGGGCAAGGUGAGAGCCGGUGCUAGCGCAUAGAACUGAAUGGACUCAGGAGUCGCAGGCCGAAAAAGGAAACUUGAGUAGGUUUUGACGGAAGGGCACCGUUAUCAAAGCCUAGGGUAUCGCUCUGAGAAAUCCGGGCCGCACCCGAAAAAAGAUGCUCCUGUAUUUUUUGCAGGGAUAAUUAGGGUGGCACCGCGAAGGUUAAUCCCUCGCCCCUAAA